rnacentral:rRNA from 1 species
UUUGCUUAACAAGGAAAUUGCCAUUGAAACUGUUAGACUUGAGAAUGGACGAGGUAGGCGGAAUUCGUAGUGUAGCGGUGAAAUGCAUAGAUAUUACGAAGAACUCCAAUAGUGUAGACCGCUUACCAGACCAUAUCUGACACUAAGGCACGAAAGUGUGGGUAUCAAACAGGAUUAGAUACCCUGGUAGUCCACACAGUAGACGAUGAAUACUAACUGUUUGCGAUAUACAGCAAGUGGUCGAGCGAAAGCGUUAAGUAUUCCACCUGGGAAGUAUGCCGGCAACGGUGAAACUCAAAGGAAUUGACGGGGGCCCGCACAAGCGGAGGAACAUGUGGUUUAAUUCGAUAAUACGCGAGGAACCUUACCCGGGCUCGAACGAUAUUUGAAUACAUCCGAAAAGAUGUAGCUAGCAAUAGCAAAUACCGAGGUGCUGCAUGGUUGUCAUCAGCUCGUGCCGUGAGGUGUCGACUUAAGUGUCAUAACGAGCGCAACCCUUACCGAUAGUUACCAUCAGAUAAUGCUGGGGACUCUAUUGGGACUGCCACCGUAAGGUGUGAGGAAGGAGAGGAUGACGUCAAAUCAGCACGGCCCUUAUGUCCGGGGCGACACACGUGUUACAAUGGGAGAAACAAAGGGUCGCUACCUGGCAACAGGAUGCUAAUCUCGAAAAUCUCUCUCAGUUCGGAUUGGAGUCUGCAACUCGACUCCAUGAAGCUGGAUUCGCUAGUAAUCGCACAUCAGCCAUGGUGCGGUGAAUACGUUCCCGGGCCUUGUACACACCGCCCGUCAAGCCAUGGAAGCUGGAAGUACCUGAAGUAUGUAACUGAAAAGAGCGUCCU